UUAAUCACAGUUUUUUUCAUGCAUCUUGGCAUUAUGUUCUCCUCCACCAGUCUUACACACUGAUUUUGGAUAACUUUAUGCUGCUUUACUCCUGGUAUAAAAAUUCAAGCAGUUCAGUUUGGUGGUUUGAUGGCUUGUGAUCAUCCGUCUUCCUCUUGAUUAUAUUCCAGAGGUUUUCAAUUUGGUAAAAUUAAAGAAACCCAUAAUUUUUAAGGUGUCUCUUAUUAUAUAUUAUUUUUUUCCAGAGCUGAUAUAUUUUUAUAUGUGAUAUUAAAAUACAGCAGCAGUGUGAUUCUGUCUGAACAACUAGAUCAGAAUUCAUGCAACCUUUAUAUCAAAGAAAAGGAUAAAAGGAUGUGCAUAUAGAAGGGAAAUUGAUUGUUCAGGGUUUCUAAUAAAAUGCAUUAAUGUGGCCAGAAGAGGG